rnacentral:rRNA from 1 species
UUUACCGCUUCGGCGUUAUAACCUCACACUCAAUCUUUUAUCACGAAGUCAUGAUUGAAUCGCGAGUGGUCGGCAGAUUGCGAUAAACGGUCACAUUAAAUUUAACCUGACUAUUCCACUGCAACAACUGAACGGACUGGAAACACUGGUCAUAAUCAUGGUGGCGAAUAAGUACGCGUUCUUGCAAAUCACCAGAAGGCGGUUCCUGGAUGAAUGGGAAGCCUUCAAGAAGGUGAUAAGCAGGAGAAACAUACGAAGGCGCAUAACGAUACCACUGACCCUCAGCAAUCUUAAACUUCUUAGACGAAUCUCCAGAACGGAAAACAUCCUUCAUAGAAAU